GAGCAGAUGCCCUGAGGCCAGUCCUCCGGCACCAACAGAAUUGAGAUAAUGCCCCAGAAUCUGCUAUGGAGGUCCAAGGAGCACAGAGACACGAGACUGAAAACAUGAACUAGAUUAUGGAGUGCCUAUGGGAACCACAGAGUGGAAACAGGACACGCAGCCGGCAAGUACUGUACAUAGCAUUUUCCAAAAAGCUCAACUGAGAGAAAAAGACAGGAUAGCAACUAACGGGGGACAUGGUUUAAGUAUGUUUUUGUUUUUUAAAAGAUGAGUAAAACUUGUGAACAUUUAUAUGCUAAGAAAAAGCAAGUAGGGAGGGGAGUGAGGCAGGAAAAAGAUGUGGCAGAGCAGAGCUCCCGAGGAAGAGGGCCCAGCAGAGCAGAACCUAGCCAGCACCUAGCGUUUCCACCAGAGGCUCGGGGUGGGGCAGAGGUGCAGGAGGCAGAGUCAGGGUGGAGGCAGUCAGGGUGGAGGCGGGUGCAGAAUGAAGGGGACGGGCCCGGCUGAGCCAAAGCUGUGCUGCUGUCUUCCAGCAGUAACGUUAUAAU